UUGACGGGCCGGGCCGCCGCCGGCAUAAGCUGGAGGAAAGUCCGGGCUCCGCAGGGGAUGAUGCCGGGUAACGCCCGGGCACUCAGGUGACAGCCAGUGCCGCAGAAAAAAUACCGCCGCGGUUUUCCGCGGUAAGGGUGAAAAGGCGAGGUAAGAGCUCACCGGUUUCAGGGUAACCUGAAAUGCAAGGUAAACCUCAUCAGGAGCAAGUUCAAGCAGCGGACAGGUUCCCCGCCUUGAGUCCGCGGGUAGAGCGCUGAGAAUUCAGCCGGUAACGGCUGAAUAAGAUAGAUGGCGGCCGUAAACAGAACCCGGCUUACCGGCCCGUUUUUUGU
rnacentral:RNase_P_RNA from 1 species